GAUGAACGCUGGCGGCGUGCCUAAUACAUGCAAGUCGAGCGAAUGGAUUAAGAGCUUGCUCUUAUGAAGUUAGCGGCGGACGGGUGAGUAACACGUGGGUAACCUGCCCAUAAGACUGGGAUAACUCCGGGAAACCGGGGCCAAUACCGGAUAACAUUUUGAACCGCAUGGUUCGGAAUUGAAAGGCGGCUUCGGCUGUCACUUAUGGAUGGACCCGCGUCGCAAUAGCUAGUUGGUGAGGUAACGGCUCAACAAGGCAACGAUGCGUAGCCGACCUGAGAGGGUGAUCGGCCACACUGGGACUGAGACACGGCCCAGACUCCUACGGGAGGCAGCAGUAGGGAAUCUUCCGAAAUGGACGAAAGUCUGACGGAGCAACGCCGCGUGAGUGAUGAAGGCUUUCGGGUCGUAAAACUCUGUUGUUAGGGAAGAACAAGUGCUAGUUGAAUAAGCUGGCACCUUGACGGUACCUAACCAGAAAGCCACGGCUAACUACGUGCCAGCCGCCGCCGUAA
rnacentral:rRNA from 1 species